AUUGAACGCUGGCGGCCGGCCUAACACUUGCAAGUCGAGCGGCGCGGCGGUCGGGGGAGUAAUGACUAGGAAUCUGCCAGGUAGAGGGGGAUAACGUCCGGAAACGGGCGAUAAUACCGCAUAAUAUCAGAUGACAAUAGGACGGAUUAGCUAGUUGGUGGGGUAAAGGCCUACCAAGGCGACGAUCCGUAUCUGGUCUGAGAGGAUGAGCAGUCACACUGGAACUGAGACACGGUCCAGACGCCUACGGGAGGCAGCAGUGGGGAAUAUUGGCAAAUGGGCGAAAGCCUGAUCCAGCCAUGCAGCGUGUGUGAAGAAGGUCUUCGGAUUGUAAAGCACUUUUAGUUGAGAGGCGUUACCAACAGAAUAAUCACCGGCUAACUUCGUGCCAGCAGCCGCGGUAAUUC
rnacentral:rRNA from 1 species